UACAGAGGGUGCAAGCGUUGUUCGGAAUUAUUGGGCGUAAAGGGCGCGUAGGCGGUGCGGUAAGUCACCUGUGAAAUCUCCUGGCUUAACUGGGAGCCUGCAGGCGAAACUACCGUGCUGGAGUGUGGGAGAGGUGCGUGGAAUUCCCGGUGUAGCGGUGAAAUGGCGUAGAUAUCGGGAGACACCGGGUGGCGAAGGCGGCAAUUCUGGACCGAUA
rnacentral:rRNA from 1 species